rnacentral:tRNA from 1 species
GAGUCGUUGGCAGAGCGGUUAUGCAACCGGCUUUUAACCGGUAUCAUCUGGGUUCGACCCCCAGGCGACUCACCA